GGACAGAUCAAGUCAGUCACAGACAGGUAACGUGAAGCAGUCAUCCUCGACACUGAUCCCUUGGCACGACUCAGAGCUAGAGCGAGCAGUGGCAAACCUCACAAUUUGCAGGAUUCACCGAAUAAAAUGCAGGUGGAAUUUCUUCUUCGCGGGACAUACGCGACCUGAGGACGGCGUGGAGAUCAAUGAAGCGUCCGUGGCGGAGUAACACUAGUAACUGGACACCGACAACGGUGGAUCUGAGAUUAGUCGCAAGGACCAGUAACCGACGCGGGUGCAGGGUGGCAGGGUAGCAAUGCCUGGCUAUCGAAUAUUCCAACAACGUGCCCAUGGCAGAGUCGGGCUUAUGUCCCUGCUGAUGCUGUUUGUGACGAUUGGCUCCUGCAGCGCACAGACAAUUUGCCCCUUCAAUGGCAGCAUCUACACAUGCCCGGAUUCGUCCUACCCGUUCGAUGAGGAUAGCACGAGCUGCUGCCUUGUGGACGGGCUAGCCAACUGCUGCAAGUCCAUUCUACUGGACACCUGGGAGAUAGGUCUGAUUGUCGGUUUGUCGGUUCUGUUCAUUGGCGUCACGUUCAUCAUCUGCAUCUGCUGCAGUGGCUGCCCUCUUUACCAGUAUCAUACAAAGCACAGCGACUACAGGGCCAUAAGCAACAAAUGAGCCAGUUUGCAAACUUUGAAAGUGAUCAUGCCGUCAGCCCGCGGUCCAGAAGUCACCUGGGCACCUCAUGGAGAUUGCUUGUAUGGUGUAUGCUCCAAUACGAUUGUCUUGCUUAUAAAGUACCCAUACAUGUAUAUACUCCAUACAUGGCGUGAGAUGCAAGUCCAGCGUCAGAGAUGGCUCUCAGGACAAGUACAAAAAUAAUAAUAGCUAAGUUUUGCAACAGACAUGUGCUGGUUUCCUGUCAUUGCUGUUUUGGCAUAUGAAUACAUGUUUUGCACAGUGAGCCUCCGUUCUGCAUGCAUUCUGCAAAGAGUGCGUUUGCACUCCAACAUUAUAUGCAUUCUCUGUUCCCUGGCUGCCCAAUUUGGGAUGUUUGUUAAGGAAACCCAGCCUAGAUCUGAUCUUGGUGGCUGGCUUCCGUGCACCAGUAUUUUUUGGUAAUGCUACUGAAACAUCACCAUCAUGUACAUGUAGGUCUGUAUGUACUCAAUCUGCGGGCAGAACUGUUUCGUCCUUUGUGGUCUCGUCAGCGGAGCACAGAGAAAAUUUAUGUACAUGCAUGUAUUUUUAGACAGUUAUCCUACUUGGAAGUAAUUCGCAAGUACACAUGGCCUACAAGCCUGAUUGGUAGAAAGUCCUAGUAGAAAGACGCUUCUUUCUGAAGCAUCCUUACAGAAUAUUAUUAUUAUUAAUCUGCAGCUGCACAGACCCCACUUUCAGUAUCACAUCAUGGUUAUACAGAGCACUCUAUUCUAUUUCAUUUCAGCAUUUUAUAAUGCACACAUCCUGCCACUUUCUGUUGAGAGUGACUUCAUCAUAUGCAUUGCUCGCACUGUCUCAGUUUGCUGGCCCACUGUCUUUACAAUCAUUAAUUUUUGUUUCUCCUUUUUUUCAGCCUGUUCUGGUAUGGAUGUUUUGCACACGAAUUCUCAUAAUUAUCUGCUUGCACCAAUAUCGCCGCAAAGCAACCCAUUUUUUUUGUACCAAGUC